rnacentral:lncRNA from 1 species
GGCUGUCCCAUACGGUCUUCUGUUGAUGGGCAUAGGUUAUUUCUAGUCUUUUGCAUAACAAACAGUGCUGGAGUGGAUCUCCUUGUACCUAACUGUGGACACACAUGUGCAAGUACGUCUGUAAUCCAAAAUCCUGCAAGAGGAAUUUCUAGGUUAAGAUGGCAUGUGCAUUUUAAAUUUGGCUAGAGAUUUCUGCAGUGAUGUCUGAUCCUGUGCACCGUGCAUUCAUCAUGUGACCCAUUUCUAGUCCUUCUUGACCGCCCCCUCUCCUAUGGGGAUCCUGAGCUGAUAGGGUCACUUCUGUCUCUCCCCCACACUGGAACAGCUCUCUCUAAUCUACAAGAUUAAUUUUUUUUCCUAAUCAAAACACAAUUGCCAAGGAUAGUUUGAAAAAUAUUAAUUGUGUCUGUCAUCCUGGGGCUCUGAGCACGUGAGCGUUUGGGAUAUAAUCUUUGCAAAUUGCCUAUAGUUCAUACAGCACAGCAAGAGCCUCUCUCUCUGCAGCCAGUCCUUUAUGAUCGAUCAUACCCACCCCCUCUCCCAAUGGGCUGUAUCCUAAGGGUAAGUAGACAGCAUGGGUUCUCUUGCUUAAAAAAAAUCGUUAACUCAACGGGGGCGCCUGCUGCUUGAUUGGGAGUAUGUCGGCAUUUAGAGCCUGCUGGCUGCAAUCUCACUACGCAGACUGGAAGUUGUGGGGUGUUUUUAUCAGCAGGAAACAGCUUUGAGAGCGGAAGGGGAGUGAGAGUAGAUGGAUAGAUGAGGGAAUUCGAAGAGGAGGAAGCCGUGGGAGAAAUGUCUUCUUUUAAAGACAGACAAGGCAGAUUUCUCCAGCCCAUCUCUCUGGAAUGUCAAGUAGGAAUGAAAUGGGAAGUUGGGUUAAUUCUACCAGGCCUGCCCAGCAACCAGCCUGUUCAGGUUCCCCAGGAGUUGCAGCCUGUUGUCUGAGACUGUGAGGUUCUCUUCCCUGAAGUGUCUUGUGGGAAUUGGCUGGUGGCAGCAUUUUCUCUGAGGUCCCAAAAAUUCGAGUGGUCAAGAAGACACCCUGCAAUGAUCAUUCCCCAACAUUGGAGGCCAUAAAAGUCAGUCUGGGUUUGCAAAUACACACUGGAAGUCUCAGAGCUGGUGCAGACAUCUCAGAGCUGGUGCAGACAGACACUGUGGCUGAGUGUGUGUGCCUUGUUCGUUAUGGUUUCACUGCUACUGGAUUGGUACCUGGUACACAGUAGGCACUGAAAAAAUAUUCACUGAAAGAAAGAGAAAACUUGAUGGCAGUUGUAGGUCUGGGUCUGUUGGAAUUUUUACCCCCAGGAAGAGAUUUGAUUUUAACUCAAAGCCAGUUGAUAAACAGCCUCACCCAGCAGACAGAGGGCAGCUUGGGGGAAACUGGAGGGUAUGUAGGGUGGGGUGGGGCUCUUAUCUGUAUGGACAAUGCCAUAUAUUUUCUGAAACUUGGAUUUUUCUCCUUAUAAGGGAGAAGAUCCAAGAAGACAAUGAAAAAACAUUUGCCCCUGCCUUUAGAAAAAAUAACCUUUUAAUUUUUGGAAUAAUUUCAGAUUUUUAGAAAAGUUGCAAAACAUUUACAGAGAGUUCCACUGCAUACCCCUCACCCAAAGUUUCCCCCUAAUGCUAACAUCUUAUGCAACUGUGAUGCCUUUGCCCCUACCAUUUUGAGGUUAACAAUUAAGUUAGUAUAAUACUUAUUCUGUACCGAGCUCUAUUCUAUAUCAUUUUCCUGCAGUUGUUUAUUUGACCCUUUCAGCAUCCUUUGAGGAAUAAGCACUGUUAUAGCAGUCCCCAUUUUACAGACGGGGAAGCUGAGGCUCAGCUAGACUCUAGCUAGUGUUCGAAACCUAAGUUGUCUGGCUCCAGUCUCUCACCCCUCACCAUUAUUAUCUGCACAGUAAUGAUGGUAACUGUCAUCUCUUGAUGAUAAUGCGUUCAGGAACUGAGCUCAAAAGUUUUUCCCUCCCUCCCUUCCUCCCUUCCUUCCUUCCUUCCUUCCUUCCUUCCUUCCUUCCUUCCUUCCUUCCUCCCUCCCUCCCUCCCUUCCUUCCUUCCUUCCUUUUUUUGAGAUAGGGUCUCACUCUGUCACCCAGUCUGGAGUGCAGUGUCACGAUCGUAGUUCACUGUAACCUUGAACUACUGGGCUCAAGCCAUCCUCCCACCUCAACUUCUUGAGUAGCUUUGACUACAGGCAUAAGCCAUCAUGUCUACCUAAUUUUUAGUUUUUUCUUUUCUUUUUUUUUUUUUUUCCUUUUUCUGUAGAGACAAAGUCUUGCUAUGUUGCAUGGCUGGUCUCAAACUCCUGGCCUCAGGAGCCCUCCUGCUUCAGCCUCCCCAAGUUCUGGGAUUACAGGUGUGAGCUGCCACGCCCAGCCUACUUAUGUUAUUUCUAAACCCUCCCCUGACUCAGAGCUGUGGUAAAGAGCCCCGCUUUUGUUGUCCUGCUCAGGACAAAAAUACAUGGCCCCAGGCUUUUGUGAGUAGGAUCCGGAAGGGAACUUAAGUGUGUGUGUGUGUGUGUGUGUGUGUGCACCCACGUGUGUGUGGGGGAGUGAUAGAGAUUCUCCUGGUUUCUGUCCUAGUUUUUUCUAAGCGUAUGGAGACAGGUCUGCUCCGUACAUCUGGGGAUUGGUAUUACCACAUCAUUUCCCCCCUAACAGCAGCAAAGAUUCUCAAAGCUUCAUCAGAGCAUGAACAAUCAGAAAUGCCUUAAUUUUGUUAGUCACAAUAAAUAAUACUUUGAUUAAUUAGCAAGCACAUGCCUUGGGAAUAUGAGAAAGUAAAUGAUUUCUACCCUAGAUCUUUCAGAUAGCUGGGAGGGAAGAGAGUAUUAAAAUACGCUUUUAACUAUGGGUUUUGGAUGGAGAAGAGGAGAAUGCCGGAGAGGGGAAAGCAGCAGUGGAAUUGUUCUUGGAGAUAGGAGAAACUGAAACUCUUUCCACCCAGGGUCUUUGCAGAAAGUGGUUCCCACUGCCUGGAAUACUUUUUCUUCUCUUUACAUGGUGAGCUCUCACUCUAGUCUCAACUUAAAUGUCUCCCCCUUUGACAGGCCCUUGCUAACAUCCUGUUUCAAGUUCCUUCUGGAUAUUGAUUAGGAUGGUAAGCUUCAUGAGGUUAAGGAUCUCUGUUUCAUCCACUGCUCCAUCCUCUGGUGUCUGCAACGACGCUGGCACACCAUAGGCCCUUAUUAAAUAUGUGUCGACUAAAUGAAUAUGUGGUCUUAUUAAAUAUGUGUCGACUAAAUGAAUAUGUGGUCUAUUUCAAGUCCUCGUUUGUGUCUGCCCUAGAACUUAGCACUGUUUGCCAUUAGCUUGUCUAUUUCCUUGUGAAUAGCUAGAUUCCCUCAUGAGCUAUAAGGGCCACGAUGGCAGGGGGUGUGUCUACCUUGUUCACCAAGGGUACCCAGGAUGAACCUGGCCUGCAGCUAAGGGGGUGGGCUCUAGGGUCAGAUUACUUGGGCUCAAAUCCCAGAUUUCCUAUGUUCCAGCUGUGUGAUUUCUGCUAAUUGUCAAGCCACUCUGUGCCUCAUUUUCCACAUAGGUGCAAGAGGGGUGAUAAUAGCAUCUAUCUCUUGGGGUUGUUGAAAGAAUUAAAUAUGUCAGUAUUGGCUAAAACACUUAGAGGAAGCUGGGCGUGGUGGCUCAUGUCUGCUGAGGCAGGUGGAUUGCUUGAGGCCAGGAGUUCAAGACCAGCCUGGCCAACAUGGCGAAACCCCAUCUCUACUAAAAAUACAAAAAUUAGCCAGACAUGGUUGUGGGUGCCUGUGAUUUCAGCUACUUGGGAGGCUGAGGCAGAAGAAUCGCUUGAACCCGGGAAGUGAAGGUUGCAGUGAGCUGAGAUCGCACUACUGCACUCCAGCCUGGGUGACAGAGCGAGUCUUCAUCUCAAAAGAACAACAACAACAACAACAAAAAACCACAACACUUAGAAGAGUAUCUAGCAUAUAGUAAGUGCUUCAGUGCUUUAUACAUGUCAGUUAUUGGUAGUACUCAAAAUAUUUGGGAUUUAAAAGUUGGGGGAUUUUUACAUAAAAGGCACUUUUCCUCUUUGAGUGGUAAAAUCUCCCCUAAGAAAGAGGCAAGGACAGAUGGAGAUGAUCUGAGAGGCCCAAGAGAUCCUUAAAACCAGGCUUUUUAAGAAAUCUGAUGUUUUAUUUCUCCGUAUUGUCAUGGAAAAGGCCAGCUUUUAGCAUGCCUGGUGUUUCUGGUGUUUUCUUCUCUUCACUGUUUUCUACAUUUCUUUCUUUGCAUUGGUCCUUUUUUUUUCUUUUUUUUUUUUUUAAUAAAAAAAAAAUAGCACAGCUCGGAGUCUUGCUUGCUGACUUACUGCUAGAGUGUGGGAUCCAUUGCUUCCAUUUAGAGAAGCAGCCGGCCCUGGAAUGUGGCCGCAGGGCUGCCAGGCUGACUCUGUGAGCUGAGCUGGCGAGGAAUGCACUUUGCAGCUUGCACUGAGUUUGGCCUUACGUCUGUGGAAUUUCUUCUCUCUUCUUACUCAUUCGUGUCGUUAAAUAAAUAACAACACAAGCAGUGCAUCCUCCCGGUUAUAAUGGCAAACAGUACAAUGUGUUACAACACACAGUAGCUUGAAGAGGAUAUCUCUCUCCUGUGGUAGAUGCUUCAUUCCCCAGAACUUCACUCCUCACCCCCAGAAUAGGUUGCCCAGUUAACAGGAUGCCUGGUUCAGUCUGCAUUUUGGGUAAACAAGGAACACCUUUUUAGUAUAAGUAUGUCCCAAAUAUUGCAUAGCACCAACUUAUCCUAAAACACUAUUUGUUGUUUAUGUGCUAUUCAGGUUUAACUGGGCAUUCUGUAGUUUUAUUUGCUAAAUCUGACAACUCCAGAGAGUCUCCUAGAACCAGUUUCCUGUAUUUUCUUCCAGUAAUUUUCCAAGCAUGUGCAACCUAUGGAUAUCUUGGCAGACUUACUCCUGGUAGAAUUCCCAUCACCUAGAACAGUGCUUAGGACAUUGUAGGUGCUUAAUAAAUAUGGGUUGAAUGAGUGAUUGACUCUGUACCCACCCCAUUUUUCUUCACAUAAGUGGAAAUAUAUUAUAGUGUUGUUUCAUAUGUAGCUUUUCCUUUUAAUAAUGUCUCAUGGGGAUUGAUACAUAGAGCUGCCUCAUACUCCUCUAAGGGUUUCCUAGCAUUCCCUUUUAUGAUGCAUAAUGUAUUUAACCAGUCCCCUGAUGAUCGACAUUGGUGCUGUUGAGAGUCUUUAGCUAUUAUAAACAAUAAGGUAGUGAGCAUUCCUAUAUAUGUUUACCUCUGUGGGUUUGACGACGUGCAAGGAUAGGUGUCGCAUUGGAAUCAUGAGGACGGAGGAUAUGUGCUUUAAAAUGUGGAUUGAUGUUGCUGAAUUGCUUUCUGUACAGGAUCUGUUCACACUUCCCUCAGACAGCUUGUUCCCCAUCUCCUUACCAACAUAGAAUAUUAUCAAACUUUUUCAUUUUGCCAAUCUGAUCAGUGAAAAACUAGUAUCUCGCUAUCAUCUUAAUUUACAUCUCUUUGCUUAUGAGAACAUUUUUAUGUUUGAAAGCUCUAUUUCUUUUUCUGUGAACUGCUUCUUCUUUUUUGCCUAUUUUUUUCUACUUAUUGAUUUUUAACCGGUUUUUGUUUGUGAAAGAACAUGUCUGUUAGCCU